rnacentral:lncRNA from 1 species
AAAGGAGAAAUUGAAUUUGGGCCUUUCUUGGGCCUAUUUUGCUGAAAUUUUUUGGGGUUAAUACUAAUCCCGAUUUUCUAUACAUCUCGUGUAUAUUAGUGUAUAUUAGCAUGUAUAUCUGCCCUUUUCAUGUAUUUCUUGCUUCCAAACAAAUGUAUUUCCUCUCAGCCCUGUAUUUUCACACUUUUCGACCUGUAAUUUGUUGUAUAAUGAAUGUACUGUUGUAUACAAUAUGUAUACAGCCCAUUUCUUAGGCUUUNNN